UAUGUGAUCGUCUCUCGCAUAUCAAUAAGCGGAGGAAAAGAAACUAACAAGGAUUCCCCUAGUAACGGCGAGUGAAGCGGGAAGAGCUCAAAUUUGAAAUCUUAAAGGGUUUCCCUUUACGAAUUGUAGUUUAAAGAAGUGUUUUCUGUUGAGGUUUUGGUAAAAGUUCUUUGGAAUAGGACAUCAUAGAGGGUGAGAAUCCCGUAUUUGACCUUUACUUUCAACUUUGUGAUACACUUUCAAAGAGUCGGAUUGUUUGGGAAUGCAGUCCAAAAUGGGUGGUAAAUUUCAUCUAAAGCUAAAUAUUGGCGAGAGACCGAUAGCGAACAAGUACCGUGAGGGAAAGAUGAAAAGAACUUUGAAAAGAGAGUUAAACAGUACGUGAAAUUGUCAAAAGGGAAGCGUUUGACUCCAGUGUUGUUUUUCUGAAAAUCAAUUAAAGAACUGUUUAUGCUAAGUUGUUUAGACUUUAUCAGCUAACUGUUUAGUUUUGAGCUUUUCUUUAAUGCACUUUUCAGUUAACAAGUCAACAUCAAUUUCUUUUGCUGUAAAAAAGCUUGAGGAAGGUGGCUUGAGAUUCGUCUUAAGUGUUUAUAGCCUCUUGCCUAUGCAGUCGGAGAGAUUGAGGUCUGCAGCGUAGAUCCUUCGGGGCUAAAUGCAUUUGUGCUAAGUUAUAGCAUUUUAUAGACAACUUGUUGACUAUGAUUUGUCUUGUAGCUUACUCGCUUAUGUUAUUUUACCUACGCUUAGGAUGUUGAGUAGCGACAUACGCAC
rnacentral:rRNA from 1 species